rnacentral:rRNA from 1 species
UACGUAGGGGGGCAAGCGUUUGUCCGGAUUUAUUGGGCGUAAAGCGCGUGUAGGCGGCUUGGCAAGUCCGCUGUGAAAACUCGAGGCUCAACCUCGAGAUGUCGGUGGAAACUGCCUGGCUAGAGUCCGGAAGAGGAGUGUGGAAUUCCUGGUGUAGCGGCGAAAUGCGCAGAUAUCAGGAAGAACACCUAUGGCGAAGGCAGCACUCUGGGACGGUACUGACGCUGAGACGCGAAAGCGUGGGGAGCGAACAGG